AAAAUCCAACUGGAUUGAGCUAUCAUUGUCAUAUAUGCUGUGCAUAAGUAUAAAAGCUGAUAAAUUUGGAAUGCUGUACACCUGCGAAACCAUCACUACCACCAGAAAAGAAAUGAAAUAGCUAUGGAAAACGUUGACAAGGACAGUUGGAGAAGAGAGAAGUGACCCUGAUGCUCUGAGAACAGGGAGGGAAGAGAAACAAUAAAACACAGACAGAUGGGAAAAUUGUAAAAACGCAGCAGGCUAAGGAAAGAAGAGUGAAGAUAAAGCUGAAUAUGUGCUUCAAACUAUCCCAUAAAUCAUGGAGGGAAGAACAGUAUGCUCACAUGUUCCUCAUGUCUAGAACUCGUGUUUGAGGUGGGAGUUGAAAAUUGAGGCCCUACACCAGGCCAUUGAGGCAUGCGGAGUGUUGGCGGCAAGAAGUCUCAGGAACCUCUGCAUGAGGGCAUCUUCAGUUCUGUGCCUACCCGAAGCGAAUGAAGGGGACCUAAUGGACUCCUAGAGUCCUCCUUGCAUCUGACAAGGCUGGGAAGGAGAAUGCUGUGCUGUGUUUGAUAUAUGAACAAAGGACAACUCGCCAACACUGUUGCAGAGGUAUUUUGAUUUCUGAACCAAAUUAGAUACCAGUAUUUAAAUUUACCUGUGUCUCAGGAUGAUUGCAGAAGAUUUAAAAUGAAUGUAUAAACUUUCUGCAACGGUUACCAGGAAGAUAAAAACCUAAAUAUGGUAAUUAGAA